rnacentral:lncRNA from 1 species
UUAAAAAAUCUAAAUACUUUUGUUUUCUCGAUUAAAAACGCAUUAACGCGUGUCAUGAAAUAGCUGUCUAGAAGUUUUAACUAACAUAUUUAGUAUACCGCAUUACGCAAUACCAAUUAUGCAAAUAAUGAUUUUUGGCAAUAUUUUACUAACGACUUAAUUUGUCAUAUUGAAAUUUACUAUACAUAACCAACAAUUUUAUCGAUAUUGCUUUUUUCGCACUAUCACUCUACUACUCAUAUUGUUUUAAAAAUAUCAAUAUCAAAAAUGGCAUGUAAAAGAUCUUCUGAUGAACCUUCGGAAUGCAACAGCUUUCUUCAAAGCUCUAAACGGAUGGGCCAAGUUGCAACGCAUAUUCUUACUGCAGAAUCAGAAGUAGAAAUUGAUUUUAAUACAUCAAAAAAAAACACAAGAAAACUCCUUCAAGUCAGCAAUAAAAGAGAAAAAAAAAUGUAUUUUUGAAGAACCUCCUUUACCAUCAUUACCAUAGUGGGAGCCACCAAAGCUUCCUGAUUCCGAUUCAAACUUUUUGUCCGUCUCUGUCUCAAUGGAUCAAGUAGAUGACUUGCCAGUUACACAGAUAGUGUUUCCAUCAGAAAUGCGUUCCAUGCGUUCAAUUUUAGACACUAAUCAUGGUAAUAAAGAAAAUAUUAAUAUAGAUUAUUUACCAGCUAAUUCAGUUGAAGAGUUUGACUCACUA